GCAUCUCCAUGGAAACAGAGCCAACUGGCUUUCUUGUCAUGCUUCCAGCUGGGAAAGGUCUCAAGGCAAUUAUGACUUCAUGGUGGAAUCUUCUUAUAGUGGGGUAGAAGGCAGUGGGCUUGAUGGGGAGAGGGUGGGGGGAGGAGGAAGAGGAGGAAAAAGGAAGAAGAAAGCUAUCUCCAUGGGCAUACUUUGCAUUGUCUUUGUGGCUAUAGUUUAAGUGAUGAGACUGAUUCAUGCAAUGAGUAGGCCCCCAGUGAACAAAACAUUGAAACACCAGAGAUGGUUUUUAGAAUUUUAGAUAUCUUUUCUCCUGUUGGAACUGGACUUCUUUAGGGGUGCUGGACACCCUGGUCUUGCUUGGUGAAUUAAUUGAUGGAGAUGGAGAUAAGACAGAUUCGGCACCAGCACCCUCUGUGGCUAAUGACUCCCUUGUGUACUGAAGCCAAGGACCAUCAAGGAAAAGACUGGACACAUGGAAAUUGCCUUAGACCACAGUGAGCAUUAUCUCUAUUGCUAACAUCCACAAGAUGGAAAAAAUGACUUUAAAGAAGAAAAAUAAGAUCAAGGAAAAAUCUACCUCUAUGAUCCCCUACAGGAAGUCAUUUUUGUCCCUUUUUCAGUUCUCUGAGGAUGCCCCUAAUACCAGGGUUGUUUUCAGCACCAGUACAUCAUCCACACCAAAUAUAGUCACGCCUUUGGACUGCUUACCAUACUUUAGAACAUAUGAAGGGACCUUUGAUGAACCAUCAACUUUGAAUUUGGGGUUCUGCCUCCAGAAAGAAGAAAUCAAUGUUAGGCACAAGGAGGACCAGAAAGACUUGGUUCCCUCUGGUGGAUUCUUUCCAUAUUAUCGAUCUCAGGAUGAAUUCUUAGUCAAACCACUUCUACGGAGCAGGUUAUGUAAAGCCCACAGGACAAACUCCAGAAAUGAGGAAAAAGGAGGAGAUUCUAAUAGGGAGCUUGCCAUUCACAACUAUACAGCCUCCUUGCUAGGUCUUAAACCAAAUUUUGAUCUCCAGUCCUUGCCCAAGAACUCUCCUCGUUGUAGGCCCCUUGUGUUCUCCAGUGAAACCUCUGAAGAAAGCCAAUUGGACGUCCCUUUGUUCAAUGAUGAUGCCACAUGCUCUGCAGGGUUCGUUUCCUAUUAUAGGAGUGAAGAGCCUCUCCAGGUCAGCCCCAUCCCAAUAAUUCUUUCUUCAGUUCCCAGAGGCCAUGAGUGGGAUGGAACUGAGGUAAAGAAAAGGAACUGGAUCAUACCGACUUACUUUGGGCUUCUUCCCUAUAUGGUAGCAGCGAGAGCCCACCUGGGAGAGACCCUUAAGUCUAUUUCCAGUGCCACUCUGAAUGCCUUUGGAUUGAGAAGAUGCCAGAUCACAGCCCAUAUCUAAAAAACAUGAAGGUAAUCCAAGCAUAAACAAGAAGAUCAAUACCAUAAAGUUAAUUUCUCUGAUUUGCUAUUAGUUUAACCCUUAAAUAAAGAGUCACUUGGGUCCA
rnacentral:lncRNA from 1 species